UACGAAGGGGACUAGCGUUGUUCGGAUUUACUGGGCGUAAAGCGCGUGUAGGCGGCUCGAUAAGUCUGCUGUGAAAGUCCAGGGCUCAACCCUGGGAUGCCGGUGGAUACUGUCGAGCUCGAGUCCGGAAGAGGCGAGUGGAAUUCCUGGUGUAGCGGUGAAAUGCGCAGAUAUCAGGAGGAACACCAAUGGCGAAGGCAGCUCGCUGGGACGGUACUGACGCUGAGACGCGAAAGCGUGGGGAGCAAACAGG
rnacentral:rRNA from 1 species